AUAUAAAUAGUAUAAAUAUAUUACAUUUAAUUUCCAAUUAAAAAAUUUUUAUAAUAAAAUAAUUUAUAUA
rnacentral:tRNA from 1 species